UGGGAUGUCAUCCCCAUCUCCCUGCAGGCUACAGGCCCGUUCCUGCACAUCGGGGCUCUCGCCGCAGUCACGGCACUAUCUUGGAUUGUGGCUGGACAGGUCACCCGUGCAGAAAAAAUGAUGUUCCAGGUGGUGGUGGUUUUGCUGUAUGUCAGUGUGUUACUAGCACUCUACAUGGUGCCCCUACAUAUCACCUCUCCCUGCAUCAUGGACCCAGCCACCCUCAAACCACGCCCUGCUGUUAUUGGCCAUCAGGGAGCCCCUAUGCUUGCUCCAGAGAACACAAUUUGGUCCUUCCAGCGAGCGCUGCAGAUGAACGUCACUGGGUUGGAGGCUGACGUGGCUAUCAGCACGGAUGGUGUUCCUUUCCUGAUGCGUGACUUUACCCUGCGAAGGACCACAGACGUAGAGAAGGUUUUUCCAGAUAGACAGAUGGACGAAGCCUCACUUUUCAAUUGGACGGAUCUGCAGCAGCUCAACGCUGGACGUUGGUUCCUCAAGGAUGACCCCUUCUGGACCGUGCACACGCUGCUUCAACGUGAGAGGGAACGGAUCGCCAACCAGACCGUGUGCAGCCUGGAGCAGCUUCUAAAACUAGCCUCAUAUCACAACAGCACGGUGGUUUUCAGGCUGCGCAGACCUCCUCCCAAGCACCCCUGCUACGACAGCUGGAUCAACGAUACACUACAAGCUGUGCAGCAAUCUGGGGUUCCUCAAAGCCUGGUGAUGUGGACGCCUGAUGACAAUAGAGCCCAGGUGAGACAGCUAGCACCUGAUCUGAUCCAGACCUCAGUGGUGAAACGGAGCCCUCAAGUUCUGGAGCAGUCCGGCAUCAGCAGCCUGCUGCUCAGAUACAACCAAGUCAGUAGAGAGGAAAUCAGGAACUUUUCCGAGGCCCACAUCAAUCUCACCCUCUACACAGUCAACGAGCCCUGGCUGUACUCGGUGCUCUGGUGCAGCGGGGUGUCAUCAGUCUCCUCAGAGGCCUCGCAUGUCCUCCUAAAGGUGCCUUACCCCAUCUGGUUAAUGAGACCAAAUGAGUACUGCCUGGCGUGGGUGUCCGCAGACCUCAUCUCCUUCGCUGUAGUCAUAGGCAUAUUCAUUUUCCAAAAGUAUCGGAUGAGCGGUAUGCGCAGCUACAACCCUGAACAGAUCAUGCUGAAUGCUGCGGUCAGGAGGUCCAGUGGAGACAUCAACGUCAUGAAGGAGAAACUUAUUUUCUCUGGUCAGCCCCAGUAACAGCCUCCCUCCUACAUCCUCCGUGUGAUGUUCAGCACCUUUUCAUCCUUCACAAGCAGUGACUUCUUCCUUUGUUCCCUUCAUCCGUUGCAUCCCUUGUUACCUUCCACCUCUCUGCCUACUUUGCCCUUUUUCCUCAUCAUCAUACCUGCAUCCAUCCAUCCCUUCACACAUCUGUCCUCCCCCAAAAUCCUGCCAGGGGAAAAUCAUGUCCCAGUCUGUGUAGACAGCCCUUGGUACUGGAGGUCAAAGAGGUGAGGAGCGGAGUUGGCAGUGCCGAGGAGCUCUAUGGAGACAGCUACGACUACUACGGCAAUCAGGGCAUCAGCCAGUGAUCUCGGCCUCACAGGAUGAAAACAACACUACUCAGCGAUCCCGUCAUUCCAGUUUAUCAGUGUAAAAGUGUCUCUCUGCCUCUGCUGCCCCGAUUAACCGGCAGACUGCAGUAUCCUUGUGUAUACUCUGUAAAUAGUACCAUUUUUCCUCCCCCUCACACAUACUGUACAAUUUCAAAGAGCACUUUGUACUGAUUGAAUCUUGUCUCCUCCUCCUCUCACUUCCAAAUGUUCCUCUGAGUUCCCAUGGCCUGUUUCUUUACAGAGUUCAACUUUCUUUAUUUCUUUUGAGCUAAUUUCCCAAAGCAGUUCAUUCUUUUAAGCGCCAUCAGAUAUUCUUCAGAUGAAUUUUAUUUUUUAUUGUGGCUUUAUCGCAGCAUGGGGCUAAUAGCUUACAGCCCAUUGUAUCCUGCCUCCUGGCAGCACUAUGCUGUAGUUUAUAGUAAACUUACCAACAGUAAUGUUUAUAUUUAAAUAGAAAAGAAAAAAAAAACUCAGAAGCUGUUUACAGAAGUCCUGCCUUCUCCUCCAGGUGACAAACUCACAUGGUGUAUGUAAGAGAAUUAUUUUGAUAGAGGCUCAGAGCCCUGCUGUCCUACCAAUGCAUGUAACUCUAAGUAUCCCUUCUACUGACUCAUGUGAGCUGUGCUCCCAGUACAACUGGUUUAAAUGGUCCGGGGGGGAGACUUGUGCUCCUGUUUUUAUGGUGAAUGUACAUUUUUAAUGUGUAUUGUGUGUUUUCUGACUGGGUAUAUAAAUGUGUGCAGUGCUGAGUGUGUAAUUGUAUGUAAAAGGUGACUAAUGCGUGAGAUGCUCUAGCCCACAAAGGCAUCUGAACUUACGUGACAGUUUAGCAAUAGUCUGGUCCUAUUAGAUUUCACUUCCUGUACAGCCUUUGAGUUCAAGUACAGCAGUCAAGUCUUGUGGUAUUUCAGUGCAGACGAACAAAAUGCAUCUAAAGCUUGGUUGCUGGUGUGAAGUUUCACACCAGCAACCAGCACGACCGCUGUGAGGUAGAUGAAGUGGGCGCCAAAUGUGAAAAUGAAGCUGCAAGUUAAUCUAAGGGAUACGACUGGUAUCAGAACAGGUCAAGAGAUGGAUUACCUUUGUGUUUUCUUAUGUUGGGUAUUACUGUGCCUCAGAAGCAAAUGUUAUAAACUCUAAAUUAAAGUCUUAAGGAAUGAAAUAAAACAAAGUGUUUUGGGUUA